GGGGGUGUAGCUCAGAGGGGAGAGCACCUGCUUUGCAAGCAGGGGGUCGUCGGUUCGAUUCCGAUCACCUCCA
rnacentral:tRNA from 1 species